rnacentral:snRNA from 1 species
AUCGAUUCUCGGCCUUUUGGCUAAGAUCAAGUGUAAAACACCCACCAACUGUAAUAACUAUCAACCAAGUUGGUAUGGAAUUCAUGGACAAUGUGAUGUAUACUUGGACUGGUUAUAGGAGAAGCGGAAAGUAAUUCAUACGCUUGUAUGUUCUUGCUGAUUUUUUCUGAUAGAUGUUUCUCUCUCUGUCUGUCUGACAGAAAAAAUC